UACAAAUUUAAACUUGCCAUACCCUUCCACA
rnacentral:piRNA from 1 species